GACGAACGCUGGCGGCGUGCUUAACACAUGCAAGUCGAACGGAAAGGCCCUGCUUUUGUGGGGUGCUCGAGUGGCGAACGGGUGAGUAACACGUGAGUAACCUGCCCUUGACUUUAGGAUAACUUCAGGAAACUGGGGCUAAUACCGGAUAGGAGCUCCUGCUGCAUGGUGGGGGUCGGAAAGUUUCGGCGGUUGGGGAUGGACUCGCGGCUUAUCAGCUUGUUGGUGGGGUAGUGGCUUACCAAGGCUUUGACGGGUAGCCGGCCUGAGAGGGUGACCGGCCACAUUGGGACUGAGAUACGGCCCAGACUCCUACGGGAGGCAGCAGUGGGGAAUAUUGCACAAUGGGCGGAAGCCUGAUGCAGCAACGCCGCGUGCGGGAUGACGGCCUUCAGGUUGUAAACCGCUUUCGCCUGUGACGAAGCGUGAGUGACGGUAAUGGGUAAAGAAGCACCGGCUAACUACGUG
rnacentral:rRNA from 1 species